GUGGGCCUGUGCAAACAUUGUGGAGGUCAAAACGACCAAAUGAAAAGUUCUGCAGUGAAAGCCUCAAUAUCAAUCCAGACUGAGACAGGAAUGCAUUGAAAACAGUCCUGAGGAGAAGCUCUUGGGGAUACUAGUGGACAAAGAGUUGUACAUGUGUACCUGCAGGCCAGAAAACCACCUGUGUCCUGGGCUGCAUCAGAAGAAGCAUGGCCAGAAGUUUGAGGGAGAACCUUGGAGAAAGUGGAGAAAUUAAGCAAGCAUCUUUGCACACAGUGAGAAGAGUAGUCUCAUGAGGGAGCAGCAAGGGCAGCCUGCUUCAUGAAGGGAGGCAAGAUGAGAGUCAAAAAUGAAACCAGAUGGGUCAAGCAGUGAUCUCACUGUUAGGAAUCAACAAGGUGCACUGGAAAAAGGUUCUUCAAUUACAAUCAAAUGGAUGCACAAAAGCUUAAUUUCACCAGGAUCAUAGCAGCGAUCCAGCAUGAUGAACUCUAACCCUUCCUUGGUUUGUGACAUCUUAACUCAUUGAUUGACUCU